rnacentral:rRNA from 1 species
CCUACGGGUGGCAGCAGUGGGGAAUAUUGGCAAUGGGCGCAAGCCUGACCCAACAACGCCGCGUGAAGGGAGGAGGCUUUCGGGUUGUAAACUUCUUUUCAGCGGGGAGAGCAGAAGACGGUACCUCUUGAAUCCGCCACGGCUAACUACGUGCCAGCAGCCGCGGUAAUCCGUAGGUGGCAAGCGUUGUCCGGAUUUACUGGGUGUAAAGGGCGUGCAGCCGGGAAGACAAGUCAGAUGUGAAAUCCCGGGGCUCAACCGCGGAACUGCAUUUGAAACUGGUUUUCUUGAGUACCGGAGAGGGCAGUGGAAUUCCAUGUGUAGCGGUGAAAUGCGUAGAGAUAAGGAAGAACACCAGUGGCGAAGGCGGAUGACUGGACGGCAACUGACGGUGAGGCGCGAAAGCGUGGGGAGCAAACAGGAUUAGAUACCCCUGUAGUC